rnacentral:rRNA from 1 species
AGCUUGCUUCCCUGNUGUUAGCGGCGGACGGGUGAGUAACACGUGGGUAACCUGCCUGUAAGACUGGGAUAACUCCGGGAAACCGGGGCUAAUACCGGAUGGUUGUCUGAACCGCAUGGUUCAGACAUAAAAGGUGGCUUCGGCUACCACUUACAGAUGGACCCGCGGCGCAUUAGCUAGUUGGUGAGGUAACGGCUCACCAAGGCGACGAUGCGUAGCCGACCUGAGAGGGUGAUCGGCCACACUGGGACUGAGACACGGCCCAGACUCCUACGGGAGGCAGCAGUAGGGAAUCUUCCGCAAUGGACGAAAGUCUGACGGAGCAACGCCGCGUGAGUGAUGAAGGUUUUCGGAUCGUAAAGCUCUGUUGUUAGGGAAGAACAAGUGCCGUUCAAAUAGGGCGGCACCUUGACGGUACCUAACCAGAAAGCCACGGCUAACUACGUGCCAGCAGCCGCGGUAAUACGUA